rnacentral:rRNA from 1 species
CUCCUUUGACGUUAGCGGCGGACGGGUGAGUAACACGUGGGUAACCUACCUAUAAGACUGGGAUAACUUCGGGAAACCGGAGCUAAUACCGGAUAAUAUUUCGAACCGCAUGGUUCGAUAGUGAAAGGUGGUUUUGCUAUCACUUAUAGAUGGACCCGCGCCGUAUUAGCUAGUUGGUAAGGUAACGGCUUACCAAGGCGACGAUACGUAGCCGACCUGAGAGGGUGAUCGGCCACACUGGAACUGAGACACGGUCCAGACUCCUACGGGAGGCAGCAGCA